rnacentral:rRNA from 1 species
UGGGGAAUCUUGCACAAUGGGCGAAAGCCUGAUGCAGCAACGCCGCGUGCGGGAAGAAGGCCCUAGGGUUGUAAACCGCUUUCAGCAGGGAAGAAAAUGGCGGUACCUGUAGAAGAAGGUGCGGCCAACUACGUGCCAGCAGCCGCGGUGACACGUAGGCACCAAGCGUUGUCCGGAUUUAUUGGGCGUAAAGAGCUUGUAGGCGGUUCGGUUAGUCGGGUGUGAAACCUCUGGGCUCAACUCAGAGACGCCACCCGAUACUACUGUGACUAGAGUGCGGUAGGGGAGCGGGGAAUUCCUGGUGUAGCGGUGAAAUGCGCAGAUAUCAGGAGGAACACCAGUGGCGAAGGCGCCGCUCUGGGCCGUAACUGACGCUGAGAAGCGAAAGCGUGGGGAGCAAACAGGAUUAGAUACCCUGGUAGUCCACGCCGUAAACGUUGGGCACUAGGUGUGGGUCUCAACCAACGAGAUCCGCGCCGUCGCUAACGCAUUAAGUGCCCCG